UACGUAGGCAGCGAGCGUUGUUCGGAGUUACUGGGCGUAAAGAGUGCGUAGGCGGUUGGCGAAGUUCGGUGUGAAAUCUCCCGGCUUAACUGGGAGGGUGCGCCGGAAACUGGCUGGCUGGAGUAUGGGAGAGGAAAGCGGAAUUCCUGGUGUAGCGGUGAAAUGCGUAGAUAUCAGGAGGAACACCUGCGGUGUAGACAGCUUUCUGGACCAUGACUGACGCUGAGGCACGAAAGCGUGGGUAGCAAACAGG
rnacentral:rRNA from 1 species